rnacentral:rRNA from 1 species
UACGUAGGGUGCGAGCGUUGUCCGGAAUUACUGGGCGUAAAGCGCACGUAGGCGGAUUUGUAAGUCAGGGGUGAAAUCCCGGGGCUCAACCUCGGAACUGCCUUUGAUACUGCAAGUCUUGAGUCCGAUAGAGGUGAGUGGAAUUCCUAGUGUAGAGGUGAAAUUCGUAGAUAUUAGGAAGAACACCAGUGGCGAAGGCGGCUCACUGGAUCGGUACUGACGCUGAGGUGCGAAAGCGUGGGGAGCAAACAGG